rnacentral:rRNA from 1 species
UACGGGGGGGGCAAGCGUUGUUCGGAAUUACUGGGCGUAAAGGGCUCGUAGGCGGCCAACUAAGUCGGAUGUGAAAUCCCCAGGCUUAACCUGGGAACUGCAUCCGAUACUGGAUGGCUUGAAUCCGGGAGAGGGAUGCGGAAUUCCAGGUGUAGCGGUGAAAUGCGUAGAUAUCUGGAGGAACACCGGUGGCGAAGGCGGCAUCCUGGACCGGCAUUGACGCUGAGGAGCGAAAGCCAGGGGAGCAAGCAGG